UGAGCAACCUGCCCUUGACUCUGGGAUAACAGUUGGAAACAGCUGCUAAUACCGGAUACGACCCUGGAUGACAUCGUCCGGGGUGGAAAGCGCUUUAGCGGUCAAGGAUGGGCUCGCGGCCUAUCAGCUUGUUGGUGAGGUAACGGCUCACCAAGGCUUCGACGGGUAGCCGGCCUGAGAGGGCGACCCGGGCCACACUGGGACUGAGAUACGGCCCAGACCUCCGUACGGGA
rnacentral:rRNA from 1 species